CGAGGAAGGGCGUAGCAAGCGACGAAAUGCUUCGGGGAGUUGAAAAUAAGCAUAGAUCCGGAGAUUCCCAAAUAGGUCAACCUUUUAAACUGCCUGCUGAAUCCAUGAGCAGGCAAGAG
rnacentral:ncRNA from 1 species